UAACCUGCCCAAGAGAUCGGGAUAACACCUGGAAACAGAUGCUAAUACCGGAUAACAAUAGAUGAUGCCUAUCAACUGUUUAAAAGAUGGUUCUGCUAUCACUCUUGGAUGGACCUGCGGUGCAUUAGCUAAUUGGUAGGGUAACGGCCUACCAAGGCGAUGAUGCAUAGCCGAGUUGAGAGACUGAUCGGCCACAUUGGGACUGAGACACGGCCCAAACUCCUACGGGAGGAAGCAGCU
rnacentral:rRNA from 1 species